rnacentral:rRNA from 1 species
CCUACGGGAGGCAGCAGUGGGGAAUAUUGCACAAUGGGCGGAAGCCUGAUGCAGCGACGCCGCGUGAGGGAUGACGGCCUUCGGGUUGUAAACCUCUUUCAGCACGGAAGAAGCGAAAGUGACGGUACGUGCAGAAGAAGCGCCGGCUAACUACGUGCCAGCAGCCGCGGUAAUACGUAGGGCGCAAGCGUUGUCCGGAAUUAUUGGGCGUAAAGAGCUCGUAGGCGGUUUGUCGCGUCUGCUGUGAAAGCCCGGGGCUUAACCCCGGGUGUGCAGUGGGUACGGGCAGACUUGAGUGCAGUAGGGGAGACUGGAAUUCCUGGUGUGGCGGUGAAAUGCGCAGAUAUCAGGAGGAACACCGAUGGCGAAGGCAGGUCUCUGGGCUGUUACUGACGCUGAGGAGCGAAAGCAUGGGGAGCGAACAGGAUUAGAUACCCUGGUAGUCCAUGCCGUAAACGUUGGGCACUAGGUGUGGGGAACAUUCCACGUUUUCCGCGCCGUAGCUAACGCAUUAAGUGCCCCGCCUGGGGAGUACGGCCGCAAGGCUAAAACUCAAAGGAAUUGACGGAAGCCG